GAUGAACGCUGGCGGCGUGCCUAAUACAUGCAAGUCGAGCGAACGGACGAGAAGCUUGCUUCUCUGAUGUUAGCGGCGGACGGGUGAGUAACACGUGGAUAACCUACCUAUAAGACUGGGAUAACUUCGGGAAACCGGAGCUAAUACCGGAUAAUAUUUUGAACCGCAUGGUUCAAAAGUGAAGGACGGUCUUGCUGUCACUUAUAGAUGGAUCCGCGCUGCAUUAGCUAGUUGGUAAGGUAACGGCUUACCAAGGCAACGAUGCAUAGCCGACCUGAGAGGGUGAUCGGCCACACUGGAACUGAGACACGGUCCAGACUCCUACGGGAGGCAGCAGUAGGGAAUCUUCCGCAAUGGGCGAAAGCCUGACGGAGCAACGCCGCGUGAGUGAUGAAGGUCUUCGGAUCGUAAAACUCUGUUAUUAGGGAAGGACAUAUGUGUAAGUAACUGUGCACAUCUUGACGGUACCUAAUCAGAAAGCCACGGCUAACUACGUG
rnacentral:rRNA from 1 species